AUGUCUCUCAUCUCCAUUGUCUCUUUCUCUCUCUCACUUCUCCAAUAUUUCUCUCUCUCUCUCUUGUUUCCUUCUAUUUCCCUAUCUCUCUCUCCUUUAUUGUGUAUUUCUCUAUCUCUCUCUUCUCCACUGUGUAUUUCUCUAUCUCUCUCUUCUCCACUGUCUAUAUCUGUCUUUCUUCUCCACUGUCUAUUUCUCUCUAUCUGUUCUCCACUGCCUGUGUCUCUCUCUCUCUUUUCCAUUGUCUGUCUCUCUCUCUCCUUUCUUCUUCAUUCUGUAUCUUUCUCUCUUCUCCACUGUCUCUUUCUCUCUCUCUCUCUUCUCCACUGUCCAUUUCUCUCUCUCUCUCUUCUCCACAGUCUUUGUGUGUCUCUCUCUCUCUCCUCUCUUCUCCCCUAUUUCUCUCUCUCUUCUCCAGUGUCUAUUUCUCUCUCUCUCUCUCUCUCUUUUUUUUACUGUUUUUCUCUCUCUCUCUUCUCUACUCUCUAUUUCUCUCUCUCUUCUCCACUGUAUGGGUUUCUCUUUUCCCACUCUCUAUUUCUCCCUCUCUUCUCCAAUAUUUCGCUCUCCCUUUCUUCUCCACUGUCUUUUCUUUCUCUCUCUUCUCCACUAUCUAUUUCUCUCUCUCUUUCUUACUGUCUGUGUCUCUCUCAGUCUUUUCCACUGUCUAUGUGUCUAUCUAUCUCUUCCACUAUGUGCGACUCGCUCUAUCUUUUACACUUUCUUUGUCUCUCUCUUUCUCUUCUCGACUGUCUGUGUCUCUCUCUGUCUUCUCGACUGUCUAUUUCUCUCUCUUUCUUCUCCACUGUUUAUUUCUCUCUCUCUCUUCUCCACUGUCUGUUCUCUCUCUCUUCUCCACUGUCUAUUUCUCUCUCUCUUCUCCACUGUCUGUUUCUCUCUCUCUUCUCCACUGUCUAUCUCUCUCUCUUUCUUCUCCACUGUCUAUUUCUCUCUCUCUGUCUUUCCCUGUCUAUGUUUCUAUCUUUACCACUGUCUGCGACACACUGUCUCUCUCUCUCUCCUCCACUGUAUCUCUCUCUCUCUAUUCUCCACUAUUUCCCUCACUCUCUCUCUCUUCUCCACUGUCUCUUUCUCUAUCUUUCCACUGUCUGUGUCUCUCUCUGUCUUUUCCAGUGUCUGUCUCUCUGUCUUUUCCACUGUCUGUGUCUUUCUCUCUGUUUUCCAAUGUCUAUUUAUCUCUCUCUCUCUUCUCCACUGUCUAUUUCUCUCCCUCUCUCGCUUCACAACUGUCUUUUUUUCUCUCUCUUCUCCACUCUCUUUGUCUCUCUCUGUCUUCUCCACUGUUUAUUUCUCUCUCUCUUCUGCACUAUCUAUUUCUCUCUCUCUCUCUUGCCGACUGUCUGUGUCUCUCUCUGUCUUUUCCAUUGUCUGUGUCUUUCUCUCUCUGUUUUCCAUUGUCUAUUUCCCCCCGUGUGUGUGUGUCUGUCUCUCUCUCUCUCUCUGUCUCUUCUCCACUCUCUAUUUCUGUGUUUCUCUUCCCAACUGUCUAUUUCUAUCUCUCUCUCUCUUCUCAACUGUCUAUUUCUCUCUCUCUCUCUUUAUCUCUUCUCUGCUGUCUAUUUCUCUCUCUCUCUCUUCUGCGCUGUCUAUUCCUUUUUUCUGUCUUCUCUACUGUCUCUCUCUCUCUCUACUCCACUGUGUAUUUCUCUCUCUCUCUUUUCCAAUGUAUGUGUCUCUCUCUCAUCUCCAAUGUCUCUCUCUCACUUCUCCAAUAUUUCUCUCUCUCUCUCUUGUUUCCUUCUAUUUCCCUAUCUCUCUCUUCCUCACUGUGUAUUUCUCUUCUCUCUCUUCUCCACUGUCUAUAUAUGCCUUUCUUCUCCACUGUCUGUUUCUCUAUCUCUUUCUUUUCCACUGCCUGUCUCUCUCUCUUUCUUUCCCACUGUCUGUGUCUCUCUUUUCCACAGUCUUUCUCUCUCUCUCUUCUCAACUGUCUAUUUCCCUCUCUCUUCUCCACUGUCAAUUUGCUCUCUUUCUCUUCUCCACUAUUUCUCUCUCUCUCUCUCUAUCUCUCUCUCUCUCUUCUCUACUCUCUAUUCUAUCUCUAUUUUUCAAUGUCUGUGUGUCUCUCUCUCUUCUCAGCUGUCUAGUUCUCUCUCUCUCUCUCUUCUCCAUUGUAUGUGUUUCUCUUUUCCACUCUCUAUUUCUCUCUCUCUCUCCAAUAUUUCUCUGUCUCUCUCCCUUUCUUCUCCACUGUGUAUUUCUCUCUCUCUUUUUCUCUUUUCCACUGUCUGUGUCUCUCUCUGUCUUCUCCACUGUCUCUCUCUCUCCCCCCCUCUCCUCCACUGUCUAUUUCUCUCUCUCUUUUCCACUGUCUGUGUCUCUCUUUCUCUUCUCGACUGUCUGUGUCUCUCUCUGUCUUCUCCACUGUAUAUUUCUUUCUCUCCCUUCUACACUGUCUAUUUCUCUGUCUCUUCUCCACUGUCUCUUUCUCUCUUGUCCAGUAUUUCUCUCUCUCUCUUGCCCACUGUCUCUGUCUCUCUCUGUCUUUUCAACUGUCUGUGUGUGUCUCUCUCUCUUCCACUGUCUGUGUCUCUCUCUCUGUUUUCCAUUGUCUAUUUCCUCCCCCAUCUGUGUCUCUUCUCCACUAUUUCUCUCUUUUUUCAACUAUUUCUUUCUCUCUCACUUCUCAACUGUAUAUUUCUCUCUCUCUCUCCCUCUCUCUUCUCCACUGUCUAUUUCUCUCUCUUCUCUACUAUCUCUGUCUCUCUCUCUCUACUCAACUGUGUAUUUCUCUCUCUCUUCUCCAAUGUAUGUAUCUCUCUCUCAUCUCCAAUGUAUGUAUCUCUCUCUUCUUAUUUGUGUAUUUCUCUAUCUAUCUUCACUGUGUAUUUCUCUCUCUCUUUCUUCUCCACUGUCUAUUUCUCUCCCUCUCUUGCUUCACAACUGUCUAUUUCUCUCUCUCUCUUCUCCACUCUCUGUGUCUCUCUCUGUCUUCUCCACUGUGUAUUUCUCUUUCUCUCUUCUGCACUAUUUCUCUCUCUCUCUUGUCCACUCUUUCUCUCUCUGUCUUGCCCACUGUCUGUGUCUCUCUCUCUCUUUUCCAUUGUCUAUUUCCCUUUCUCUCUCUCUCUCUCUCUCUCUCUCUCUCUCUCUCUCUGUCUCUUCUCCACUUUCUAUUUCUGUGUUUCUCUUCCCAACUGUCUAUUUAUAUAUCUCUCUCUCUCUUCUCAACUGUCUAUUUCUCUCUCUCUCUCUCUUUCUCUCUCUCUCUUCCCCUGCCGUCUAUUUCUCUCUCUCUCUCUCUUCUCUGCUGUCUAUUUUCUCUCUCUCUCUCUCUCUCUCUCUCUCUCUCUCUCUCUCUUCUCUGCUAUUUUUCUCUCUCUCUCUUCUCCAUUGUCUAUUUCUUUCUGUCUGUCUUUUCUACUAUCUCUAUCUUUCUCUAAUCCACUGUGUAUUUCUCUCUCUCUCUCUUUUCCAAUGUAUGUGUCUCUCUCUCAUCUCCAAUGUCUCUUUCUCUCUCUCACUUCUCCAAUAUUUCUCUCUCUCUCUGUCUCUCUCUCGUUUCCUUCUAUUUCCCUAUCUUUCUCUUCUUUAUUGUGUAUUUCUCUAUCUCUCUCUUCUCCAUUGUGUAUUUCUCUCUCUCUUCUCCACUGUGUAUUUCUCUCUCUCUCUCUCUUCUCCACUGUCCAUUUCUCUCUCUUCUUCACUCUGUAUCUCUCUACCUUCUCCAAUGUCUGUCUUUCUGUCUGUGUGUGUCUCUCUCUCUCUCUCUCCUCUCCAUCGCCUCUGUCUCCCUCUCUAUUUUCCACUGUCUUUGUUUCUCUCUCUCUUUUCCACUGUCUCUCUCUCUUUCUCUCUUCUCCACUGUCCAUUUCUCUCUCUCUCUUCUCCACUGUCUCUCUCUUUCCUUUCCUUCCCUCCCUCUUUUCC
ensembl:lncRNA